rnacentral:rRNA from 1 species
UACGUAGGUGGCAAGCGUUGUCCGGAUUUAUUGGGUUUAAAGGGUGCGUAGGCGGUCCCUUAAGUCAGUGGUGAAAUACUCUAGCUCAACUAGAGAGGUGCCAUUGAUACUGAGGGACUUGAGUGAAGUCGAAGUAGGCGGAAUUGACGGUGUAGCGGUGAAAUGCUUAGAUAUCGUCAAGAACACCGAUAGUGAAGACAGCUUACUAGACUUAUACUGACGCUGAGGCACGAAAAGUGUGGGGAUCAAAACAGG